rnacentral:lncRNA from 10 species
GUUAUGAACCCAGGUGACUUGACUCAAGAGUUACAACCCCACUAAUGAGAAGUGAUUUUUGGCCAUGUUGAAGUCAUGACCGGUUUCCCUGGGAAGUCAACAGAAGUUUGGCAGGUGCGUGAGCUCUGCAGGGCAGAGAGCAAGAGGAGAGGUGAGCUCAGAAGGUAAUCGUAAAAUUUGGACACCUCUCUGCAGCUUUAAUGACUCAAACCUAAAAUAGUACUCAGGGAAAGACAGAGUUUGGAAGAAUUUUGAAUUGGGAGUUGGCUAUUUUGGUUGUUUUCUUCUGAUCUGGAAACACUGGGGGAGGGGUGGUUCUUCUACUGAAGUAAACAGGAAUUGUACACAAAGCAGGACUCACAUAAGAGUGAAGGGAUGUCCUACCAAUGCCCACGAUGACCCACUAACAUCCAGAUUUCUACAGUGGAGUUCCCUGGCCUUUACAUAUCAGUGGGCAAGUCCAUGAGAAACAAUGUGGCAGGUGGACUAAGGAAAAAUGGAAGCAUGAUGUGGAUUUUCUUUUCUUUGCAUCUCUUUGUUUUGAACAUACUGCUCUUUAUCAAAAUGCCUUUCUUCAAUUUCCUCAGCCCAGCAGUUUGAAUAUUUGCAUGAAGUAGGCACAUAUCACUACAUAUGAACCAUGAAAUGUAUUUGAAAAUAAAUGUUUUAAUUAAAAUUGACAUUUCUGAG